CGGGAAUCUGCCCUGAGGCUUCUGCAGUUCAGUCAUACCAGCCUUCGCGCCUCAGAGUUAGAGAUCAGAACUCUCUCACAAUGGAUUUGGGGUUGAGAUCCUCCACACUACGAGAAAGAGCCGGAGCCCCAACUCUCCCCUUUGACUCCUGCUGCAAAUCAAGGGACACCCAGCAACAUAUGGGAGCACUGACUACAGGUCCUGCUCCAGGAAUAUAACUUGCCACAAGCCAGAGGUCUACUUGUAAAUAAAUUGGUUGUCUCUUGAAGGGAAUUUGUACCC
rnacentral:lncRNA from 1 species